AUUGAACGCUGGCGGCGGGCCUAACACAUGCAAGUCGAACGCGCGGCGACCGGGUGAGUACUGUCUGGGAAACUGCCUGAUGUCUAGCGAUCACUACUGGAAACGGUAGCUAAUACCGCCUAACCUCCGAUGUUCCCAGAUGUGAUUAGCUGGUCGGGGGGGUAACGGCUCACCAAGGCGAGGAUCCCUAGCUGGUCUGAGAGGAUGACCCGCCACACUGGAACUGAGACACGGUCCAGACUCCUACGGGAGGCAGCAGUGGGGAAUAUUGGACAAUGGGCGCAAGCCUGAUACAGCCAUGCCGCGUGUAUGAAGAAGGUCUUCGGGUUGUAAAGUACUUUCAGCGGGGAGGCGUUACCUGCAGAAGAAGCACCGGCUAACUCCGUGCCAGCAGCCGCGGUAAUAC
rnacentral:rRNA from 1 species